GUGCUCACUUUGACAGCACAUAAACUAGAAUUGGAACCUUACAGAGAGGGUUAGCAUGGCCCCUGAGCAAGGAUGACAUACAAAUUAGGGAACCGUGCCAAAUUUAG
rnacentral:snRNA from 1 species